CAGACAAACAAGAGGUGUCAAGCUUUGUGUAUGCCAAGCUGGACAAGCUGUAGGAGGGACACAUGUACCAUCCAGAUCAACAGGGAGGCAGGCUGGUCUGAAUGGUGCUGUAA
rnacentral:lncRNA from 1 species